rnacentral:rRNA from 1 species
GACGAACGCUGGCGGCGUGCCUAAUACAUGCAAGUCGAACGCACUCUCGUUUAGAUUGAAGGAGCUUGCUCCUGAUUGAUAAACAUUUGAGUGAGUGGCGGACGGGUGAGUAACACGUGGGUAACCUGCCCUAAAGUGGGGGAUAACAUUUGGAAACAGAUGCUAAUACCGCAUAAAACCUAACACCGCAUGGUGUAGGGUUGAAAGAUGGUUUCGGCUAUCACUUUAGGAUGGACCCGCGGUGCAUUAGUUAGUUGGUGAGGUAAAGGCUCACCAAGACCGUGAUGCAUAGCCGACCUGAGAGGGUAAUCGGCCACACUGGGACUGAGACACGGCCCAGACUCCUACGGGAGGCAGCAGUAGGGAAUCUUCCACAAUGGACGAAAGUCUGAUGGAGCAACGCCGCGUGAGUGAAGAAGGUUUCGGAUCGUAAAACUCUGUUGUUGGAGAAGAAUGUAUCUGAUAGUAACUGAUCAGGUAGU